AACGCACAUUGCGCCCUUUGGUAUUCCAAAGGGCAUGCCUGUUCGAGCGUCAUUUCAACCCUCAAGCUCUGCUUGGUAUUGAGUCCUGCCAGUGAUGGCAGUCUCUAAAAUCAGUGGCGGUGCCGUUGGGUCCUGAGCGUAGUAAUACUAAUCGCUACUGGAUUCCCGCGCGCUUCUUGCCAAUAACCCCAAUUUUCUAUGGUUGACCUCGGAUCAGGUAGGGAUACCCGCUGAACUUAA
rnacentral:misc_RNA from 1 species